rnacentral:rRNA from 1 species
AGCGAACGCUGGCGGCAGGCCUAAUACAUGCAAGUCGAACGAACUCUUCGGAGUUUGUGGCGGACGGGUGUGUAACACGUGGGAACGUGACCUUUGGUAUGGCCUAACUCAGGGAAACUUGUGCUAUUACCGUAUGUGCCCUUCGGGGGAAAGAUUUAUCGCAAUUAGAGCGUCACGCGUCUGAUUAGCUGGUUCGUGAGGUAAAGGGUCACCAAGGCUACGAUCAGUAGCUGGUCUGAGAGAAUGAUCAGCCACAUUGAGACUGAGACACGGCCCAAACUCCUACGCGAGGCAGCAGAGGCUAAUCUUGCACAAUCGGCGGAAUCAUGACGCUGCCAUGCCGCGUGAAUGAUGAAAUUCGUAGGAUUGUAAAAUUCAUUCACCUAGGACGAUAAUGACGGUACCCGGAGAAGAAGCCACGGCUAACUUCGUG